rnacentral:rRNA from 1 species
GGGUUGUGAGGUUAAGCGACUAAGCGUACACGGUGGAUGCCCUGGCAGUCAGAGGCGAUGAAGGACGUGCUAAUCUGCGAAAAGCGUCGGUAAGGUGAUAUGAACCGUUAUAACCGGCGAUGUCCGAAUGGGGAAACCCAGUGCAAUUCGUUGCACUAUCGUUAACUGAAUACAUAGGUUAACGAGGCGAACCGGGGGAACUGAAACAUCUAAGUACCCCGAGGAAAAGAAAUCAACCGAGAUUCCCCCAGUAGCGGCGAGCGAACGGGGAGCAGCCCAGAGUCUGAAUCAGCUUGUGUGUUAGUGGAACGGUCUGGAAAGUCCGACGGUACAGGGUGAUAGUCCCGUACACCAAAAUGCACAGGCUGUGAACUCGAAGAGUAGGGCGGGACACGUGGUAUCCUGUCUGAAUAUGGGGGGACCAUCCUCCAAGGCUAAAUACUCCUGACUGACCGAUAGUGAACCAGUACCGUGAGGGAAAGGCGAAAAGAACCCCGGCGAGGGGAGUGAAAAAGAACCUGAAACCGUGUACGUACAAGCAGUGGGAGCACCUUCGGGUGUGACUGCGUACCUUUUGUAUAAUGGGUCAGCGACUUAUAUUCUGUAGCAAGGUUAACCGUAUAGGGGAGCCGCAGGGAAACCGAGUCUUAACUGGGCGUUAAGUUGCAGGGUAUAGACCCGAAACCCGGUGAUCUAGCCAUGGGCAGGUUGAAGGUUGGGUAACACUAACUGGAGGACCGAACCGACUAAUGUUGAAAAAUUAGCGGAUGACUUGUGGCUGGGGGUGAAAGGCCAAUCAAACCGGGAGAUAGCUGGUUCUCCCCGAAAGCUAUUUAGGUAGCGCCUCGUGAAUUCAUCUUCGGGGGUAGAGCACUGUUUCGGCUAGGGGGUCAUCCCGACUUACCAACCCGAUGCAAACUACGAAUACCGAAGAAUGUUAUCACGGGAGACACACGGCGGGUGCUAACGUCCGUCGUGAAGAGGGAAACAACCCAGACCGCCAGCUAAGGUCCCAAAGUCAUGGUUAAGUGGGAAACGAUGUGGGAAGGCACAGACAGCCAGGAUGUUGGCUUAGAAGCAGCCAUCAUUUAAAGAAAGCGUAAUAGCUCACUGGUCGAGUCGGCCUGCGCGGAAGAUGUAACGGGGCUAAACCAUGCACCGAAGCUGCGGCAGCGACACUAUGUGUUGUUGGGUAGGGGAGCGUUCUGUAAGCCUGCGAAGGUGUGCUGUGAGGCAUGCUGGAGGUAUCAGAAGUGCGAAUGCUGACAUAAGUAACGAUAAAGCGGGUGAAAAGCCCGCUCGCCGGAAGACCAAGGGUUCCUGUCCAACGUUAAUCGGGGCAGGGUGAGUCGACCCCUAAGGCGAGGCCGAAAGGCGUAGUCGAUGGGAAACAGGUUAAUAUUCCUGUACUUGGUGUUACUGCGAAGGGGGGACGGAGAAGGCUAUGUUAGCCGGGCGACGGUUGUCCCGGUUUAAGCAUGUAGGCUGAUUGUCCAGGCAAAUCCGGAUAAUCAAGGCUGAGGUGUGAUGACGAGGCACUACGGUGCUGAAGUAACAAAUGCCCUGCUUCCAGGAAAAGCCUCUAAGCAUCAGGUAACAUCAAAUCGUACCCCAAACCGACACAGGUGGUCAGGUAGAGAAUACCAAG